GAUGAAGAACGCAGCGAAAUGCGAUAAGUAGUGUGAAUUGCAGAAUUCAGUGAAUCAUCGAAUCUUUGAACGCACAUUGCGCCCCUUGGUAUUCCAUGGGGCAUGCCUGUUCGAGCGUCAUUUGUACCUUCAAGCUCUGCUUGGUGUUGGGUGUUUGUCUCGCCUUUGCGUGUAGACUCGCCUUAAAACCAUUGGCAGCCGGCGUAUUGAUUUCGGAGCGCAGUACAUCUCGCGCUUUGCACUCAGAACGACGACGUCCAAAAGUACAUUUUUACACUCUUGACCUCGGAUCAGGUAGGGAUACCCGCUGAACUUAAGCAUAUCAAUAAGCGGAGGA
rnacentral:misc_RNA from 1 species